rnacentral:rRNA from 1 species
AUUGAACGCUGGCGGCAGGCUUAACACAUGCAAGUCGAGCGGGGGAAGGUAGCUUGCUACUGGACCUAGCGGCGGACGGGUGAGUAAUGCUUAGGAAUCUGCCUAUUAGUGGGGGACAGCAUCUCGAAAGGGAUGCUAAUACCGCAUACGUCCUACGGGAGAAAGCAGGGGAUCUUCGGACCUUGCGCUAAUAGCUGAGCCUAAGUCGGAUUAGCUAGUUGGUGGGGUAAAGGCCUACCAAGGCGACGAUCUGUAGCGGGUCUGAGAGGAUGAUGCGCCACACUGGGUCUGAGGCACGGCCCGGACUCCUACGGGAGGCAGCAGUGUGGAAUAUUGGACAAUGGGGGGAACCCUGAUCUGGCCAUUCCGCUUGUGUUAAGAAGGCCUUAUGGUUGUAAAGCACUUUAAGCGAGGAGGAGGCUACUCUAGUUAAUACCUAGGGAUAGUGGACGUUACUCGCAGAAUAAGCACCGGCUAACUCUGUGCCAGCCGCCGCCGUAA